AUACGGAGGAUGCAAGCGUUAUCCGGAUUUAUUGGGCUUAAAGGGUGCGUAGGCGGGACUGUAAGUCAGGUGUGAAAUACUGCAGCUUCACUGUAGCAUUGACUUUGAAACUGCCGGUUUUGGGUCCAGUUGGGGGAGGCGGAAUGUGGGGGGAAGCGGUGAAAUGCAUAGAUAUACCACAGAACGCCGAUUGCGAAGGCAGCUUACUAAGCUGUUACUGACGCUGAGGCACGAAAGCGUGGGGAUCAAACAGGAUUAGAUACCCUGGUAGUCCACGCUGUAAACGAUGAUUACUGGUUGUUAGCGAUAUAUAGCUAGUGACUGAGCGAAAGCAUUAAGUAAUCCGCCUGGGGAGUACGGCGGCAACGAUGAAACUCAAAUGAAUUGGCGGGG
rnacentral:rRNA from 1 species